rnacentral:miRNA from 1 species
CGGGCAGGAGGCUGGAGGCGUU